CAAAAACAUGUCUUUUUGAUUAUAAUUUAAAGUCUAACCUGCCCAAUGAGGAGUUAAAUGGCCGCGGUAUUUUGACCGUGCAAAGGUAGCAUAAUCAUUAGUUUUUUAAUUGAAAGCUGGUAUGAAUGGUUGGACGAGAAAAUAACUGUCUCGAUUUAAAUUAAAUUAGAAUUUUAUUUAUGAGUAAAAAAGCUCAUAUGAGUUUAAAAGACGAGAAGACCCUAUAGAAUUUAAUAUAUCUAUAUAUAUAUUAUUUUUAGAAUUAAUAAUAAGUUAUAUAUAAUUAUAUUUUGUUGGGGUGAUAGAAAAAUUAAAUUAACUUUUUUUAUAUAAAAACAUUAAUGUAUGAAAAAAUGAUCCGUUAAUUACGAUUAUAAGAUUAAAUUACCUUAGGGAUAACAGCGUAAUUUUUUUUUAGAGUUCUUAUCGAAAAAAGAGUUUGCGACCUCGAUGUUGGAUUAAAAUUAACUUUUGGUGUAGGGGCU
rnacentral:rRNA from 1 species